CAGUCGAACGGACUCAUAUUGAAACCUAGUGAUUUAUGAGUUAGUGGCGGACGGGUGAGUAACGCGUGGAUAACCUGCCGUAUACCGGGGGAUAACACUUGGAAAUAGGUGCUAAUACCGCAUAAGCGCACGGCUCCGCAUGGGGCAGUGUGAAAAACUCCGGUGGUAUACGAUGGAUCCGCGUCUGAUUAGCUAGUUGGCGGGGUAACGGCCCACCAAGGCAGCGAUCAGUAGCCGGCCUGAGAGGGUGGACGGCCACAUUGGGACUGAGACACGGCCCAAACUCCUACGGGAGGCAGCAGUGGGGAAUAUUGCACAAUGGGGGAAACCCUGAUGCAGCGACGCCGCGUGAGUGAAGAAGUAUCUCGGUACGUAAAGCUCUAUCAGCAGGGAAGAAAAUGACGGUACCUGACUAAGAAGCCCCGGCUAACUACGUGCCAGCAGCCGCGGUAAUACGUAGGGGGCAAGCGUUAUCCGGAUUUACUGGGUGUAAAGGGAGCGUAGACGGCAGCACAAGUCUGGAGUGAAAUCCCGGGGCUUAACCCCGGAACUGCUUUGGAAACUGUGCGGCUGGAGUGCAGGAGGGGUAAGCGGAAUUCCUAGUGUAGCGGUGAAAUGCGUAGAUAUUAGGAGGAACACCGGUGGCGAAGGCGGCUUACUGGACUGUAACUGACGUUGAGGCUCGAAAGCGUGGGGAGCAAACAGGAUUAGAUACCCUGGUAGUCCACGCCGUANACGAUGAUUACUAGGUGUCGGGGGANCAAGGUCCUCCGGUGCCGGCGCAAACGCAUUAAGUAAUCCACCUGGGGAGUACGUUCGCA
rnacentral:rRNA from 1 species